rnacentral:lncRNA from 1 species
UUAUAAAUAAAAAUACAACUACGUCCAUUAUUUUAGUCGUAGAAUUGUACAUGGAUUUCGGUGUUUAGCCAUGAGUUAUUUUAGCUAAUCAUGAAAAAUAGAAAUUCAUGAAUUGUACAAAGUUCUUAUUAGUUUAAAAACAGGGAUUCAUCGUUAAAAGUGAUCCUUUUCCCACAACAGGUUGCGUGAUAUUAUAUAGUAUUUGAAUAAUAAUAAUACAGCUUUACUGAAUAAAAAGGGAGGAGCAAAACUUUACAGAACCUGUUUUAAAGACGGAAUGAUUAUAAACAAUUACUUUAAACUAAUAAGAACUAUAAGCGUUUAUAAUCGAUAGAGGACCAUGGAGAGGACCAAUAAGUAAUAACUGAAAGACUAUGGAUGUGGAGGAAUCGACCUUCGUAGCUGAACACAUUAGGGACGAUCAAUUUGGUGAACGAACUUGUAACUAAGAGAUGAGGGACUGUAUUGUCCAUCGUUCCUCGUAUGUUGAAGACGUGACAAUGAGUGAUGAGUCAGUCCAUUUGGGGAAGCUCUCACGGUAGGAUUCGCAAAUCUCAUUCUCAACCAUCCUAAUAAUAGGAAUGAUUUUGGAGGAAUUGUAAAAUAGGUGGAAGGAUGUUUCCACUGCAUCUUGGAAAUAGUACAGCUAAUGGAGGGUUUCACUGACCUCAUAAUUAAUCAUUUGCAUAAUAAAUUAAGAAACGCCAUAUUUUUACUAUAUAAAAUGGACAAAUUUACAAUAAAUUUCCUAUUACUUCAUCAAAUUCCUUUAAGUAUAAUAUUAUAAUUACUUAACAUCUGCAUUGAAUACUACUACUUUAUGCCAAUGAUAAACAAUGAUAUUUGAGUAUGAUCAAAAUUCUUUCAUUUGUUGAUCUCAGUUUGACAACCUAUAUCACUAUUUUCCUUAAUAUUAAUCAAUAUUAAUGAUAAAGGAGGCUUCAUUGUCAUGAUACUUGCUUUUUAUGACCCAAAAAUGGCCGAUAUCAAUAAUGCACAUAUCACAUGAAAACGGUAAUUUCAAAGAAUGGAUUCUUUAGUAUGAUUCAAGGAUCUGCAUACUCCAUAUUCAUUUUGUGUCCAAUUCUAUUAUAUCUUUUUAUUGCAAUUUUGGGAGGAUCUUCAUCCCUGUUGUUUAAUUAUGCCUCUCUGAUCAUUUUAUUUGGGAGGAGCCUAAGGCAAUGACGAGCAGACACUGUGGUCCAAGAG